GACGAACGCUGGCGGCGUGCCUAAUACAUGCAAGUCGAGCGGAUCUUGAAAAGCUUGCUUUUCUUGAUUAGCGGCGGACGGGUGAGUAACACGUGGGCAACCUGCCUGUAAGACUGGGAUAACUUCGGGAAACCGGAGCUAAUACCGGAUAAUCCUCAUUAACUCAUGUUGAUGAGCUGAAAGACGGCAUCUCGCUGUCACUUACAGAUGGGCCCGCGGCGCAUUAGCUAGUUGGUGGGGUAACGGCCCACCAAGGCGACGAUGCGUAGCCGACCUGAGAGGGUGAUCGGCCACACUGGGACUGAGACACGGCCCAGACUCCUACGGGAGGCAGCAGUAGGGAAUCUUCCGCAAUGGACGAAAGUCUGACGGAGCAACGCCGCGUGAGCGAAGAAGGCCUUCGGGUCGUAAAGCUCUGUUAUCAGGGAAGAACAAGUAUCGGAGUAACUGCCGGUACCUUGACGGUACCUGGGGUUAAGCCACGGCUAACUACGUGCCAGCAGCCGCAGUAACAC
rnacentral:rRNA from 1 species